GCUUAUGCGUUGUUGGGUAGGGGAGCGUUCUGUAAGCCUGCGAAGGUGGCCUGUGAGGGUUGCUGGAGGUAUCAGAAGUGCGAAUGCUGACAUAAGUAACGAUAAAGCGGGUGAAAAGCCCGCUCGCCGGAAGACCAAGGGUUCCUGUCCAACGUUAAUCGGGGCAGGGUGAGUCGACCCCUAAGGCGAGGCCGAAAGGCGUAGUCGAUGGGAAACGGGUUAAUAUUCCCGUACUUGGUGUUACUGCGAAGGGGGGACGGAGAAGGCUAUGUUGGCCGGGCGACGGUUGUCCCGGUUUAAGCGUGUAGGUGUGUGUUCCAGGUAAAUCCGGUU
rnacentral:rRNA from 2 species